ACGUAGGUGGCAAGCGUUGUCCGGAAUUAUUGGGCGUAAAGGGCGCGCAGGCGGCCGAUUAAGUCUGAUGUGAAAUCCCACGGCUUAACCGUGGAAGGUCAAUGGAAACUGAUUGGCUUGAGUGCAGAAGAGGAGAGUGGAAUUCCACGUGUAGCGGUGAAAUGCGUAGAUAUGUGGAGGAACACCAGUGGCGAAGGCGGCUCUCUGGCCUUUUGCUGACGCUCAGGCACGAAAGCGUGGGGAGCAAACAGGA
rnacentral:rRNA from 1 species